rnacentral:rRNA from 1 species
CGUAAAUGAGUUGGUAAGUGAAAGAGGGAACUAUAAGAGUAUGUAGUGAGAUAUUAGUAAGGACGUUACGGAAUGUUGUAAGGUAAGGUCUAGUGAAGGUUGUGGUAUUGCGGCAGCUUACUAUUUUGGCUUCGUGCGGUCAUGGUUACGUGGUGGCGGAGGGUAAUCCUACAAUCCAUCCUCGGGGGGAUGGUGACGACAGGACGUUGUCCAUUGCCUUCAUCCAGGCCUGCACAAUAGCCGACCCCGUUUUUCUAUUGAGGAACGUAGUAGACCCUUCUUUGGACGUGACUCCUUCGGGCGGUUGCUACGAGGAUCCUACCUUACGAUGCGCUAGGACCACUUGGUCCACGGUGCUUUCACGCUAGUGUCGGGAGAUGUUAGUUAAGUCCCGCACCGAGCGCAACCAUUGUCUUUAGUUGCCCAUCAUUAAGUUGGGCACUCUAGAGAGACUGCCGGGGAUAACUCGGAGGAAGGUGGGGAUGACGUCAAAUCAUCAUGCCCCUUAUGUUCAGGGAUACACACGUGCUACAAUGGCCGAUACAACGGGCAGCGAAAGAGUAAUCUGGAGCAAAUCCUACAAAAUCGGUCCCAGUUCGGAUUGUGGGCUGAAACUCGCCCACAUGAAGUUGGAGUUGCUAGUAAUCGCGGAUCAGAAUGUCGCGGUGAAUGCGUUCCCGGGUCUUGUACACACCGCCCGUCACACCAUGGGAGUUGGAAGCACCCGAAGCCAGCUAUCUAACCGUAAGGAGGAAGCUGUCGAAGGUGAAGCUAAUGACUGGGGUGAAGUCGUAACAAGGUAAAGGCAA